AGAGUUUGAUCCUGGCUCAGGAUGAACGCUAGCUACAGGCUUAACACAUGCAAGUCGAGGGGCAUCAUGCUUAUAGCAAUAUAAGUGAUGGCGACCGGCGCACGGGUGAGUAACACGUAUCCAACCUGCCGAUAACUCGGGGAUAGCCUUUCGAAAGAAAGAUUAAUACCCGAUGGCAUAAUAGAACCGCAUGGUUUGAUUAUUAAAGAAUUUCGGUUAUCGAUGGGGAUGCGUUCCAUUAGGCAGUUGGUGGGGUAACGGCCCACCAAACCUUCGAUGGAUAGGGGUUCUGAGAGGAAGGUCCCCCACAUUGGAACUGAGACACGGUCCAAACUCCUACGGGAGGCAGCAGUGAGGAAUAUUGGUCAAUGGACGAGAGUCUGAACCAGCCAAGUAGCGUGAAGGAUGACUGCCCUAUGGGUUGUAAACUUCUUUUAUAUGGGAAUAAAGUGGUCCACGUGUGGAUUUUUGUAUGUACCAUAUGAAUAAGGAUCGGCUAACUCCGUGCCAGCAGCCGCGGUAAUACGGAGGAUCCGAGCGUUAUCCGGAUUUAUUGGGUUUAAAGGGAGCGUAGGCGGACGCUUAAGUCAGUUGUGAAAGUUUGCGGCUCAACCGUAAAAUUGCAGUUGAUACUGGGUGUCUUGAGUACAGUAGAGGCAGGCGGAAUUCGUGGUGUAGCGGUGAAAUGCUUAGAUAUCACGAAGAACUCCGAUUGCGAAGGCAGCUUACUGGACUGUAACUGACGCUGAUGCUCGAAAGUGUGGGUAUCAAACAGGAUUAGAUACCCUGGUAGUCCACACAGUAAACGAUGAAUACUCGCUGUUUGCGAUAUACAGUAAGCGGCCAAGCGAAAGCAUUAAGUAUUCCACCUGGGGAGUACGCCGGCAACGGUGAAACUCAAAGGAAUUGACGGGGGC
rnacentral:rRNA from 1 species